UUAAUAAGUUAAGUUAUUUGCUAGUCAAACGUCAUUUUGAUAUUUCAACACGACAGUGUCUAGUUAUUAAAGCGUUUUACUGGAAAAAUAAUGGGCUACAAAUUGGCAAUCUUCAUCCUUGGGCUUUGCCUGAUUGCAACUUUGAAUGUGUCAGAAGGUUCAAAAAGAGAAAUGUCUUGUAAAUGCAUGCCCAGGCAGAUUUGUGAAGGUGAAUAUCUAUUCAUAGCAGAAGAAAAUGCAGAUGCGAAUUGCCCGGAUGGAGAAGUUUACUGUUGUAAAGAAUAUCCAAAACGAAAAUAAGGGACACGAUUUCUAGAAUGGCACGCUAUAGAAAGAGAAGACAAACACCGACUGUCCAUUAAUUUGUGAAAAGAAUUAAGAAAUAAACGAAUAUUCAAUCA